AGUUUAAGGGUGCCAGCUUAAAUGAGACCUGCCCAAUGUCUUAAAUAGUAUAAAUGGCCGCGGUACUUUGACCGUGCUAAGGUAGCGUAAUAAUUUGUCUUUUAAAUGGAGUCAGGAAUGAAUGGAUUAAUGGGGAAAAGCUGUCUUUUUAUGAUUUCAUAUAAUUUACUUUAAAGGUGAAAAAGCCUUUUAAACCAAGGAGGACGAUAAGACCCUUUGAAUUUUUAAUAAAAAUAGUGUUAUAGAGGCUAUUAAUUUUAGUUGGGGCGGCUAAAAUGUGCUUAAGCCAUUUUAAUAUAAAAUUUUAACAAGAAAAUUAUAAUGAGUAUGAAUAAAUUACCAUAGGGAUAACAGCAUUAUUCAUAAGAGUUUGUGACCUCGAUGUUGGAUUAGGAAAGAAAAUAGCUAGAAGUUAUUUUUAAUUGGUUCUGUUCGAACUAUUCUCCU
rnacentral:rRNA from 1 species